rnacentral:rRNA from 1 species
GCAUGCUUACAACAUAGCAUUAAUGCAUCGGAUUCCAUUAGAACUCCAUAGUUAAGCGUGCUUGGGCUAGAGUAGUACUUGGAUGGGUGACCACCCGAGAAUUCCUAGUGUUUUACAUGCC